rnacentral:lncRNA from 1 species
CAGGAGAAGACAAGAAGAUGGAGACAGUCAACCUAGAACCAGUAAUGACCAGUUCCAACUUAAUUGCAGAAAGGGAGAAAAGAUCAAUCAUUUAAGUUGCUUCAUCGUCUAAAUAAAAGUGUUUUGGCUGAUGAAACAUG